UGAAUAAGUAGGAUGCAGAACACCAUUCAGUUUAAAUCUGGAAUGCUCUCUGUUGGUGGGUGAGAAAACAUUACAAGCAGGCAGUGUUCUGCUACUGUGCAAAAUGUGCACUGCCAAGCAGAGAUGAAGGCACAGAUGGAAAGCAGCAAGGCAGUGCAGGAGAGAUAUUGCCAGGGCAGGGCUGCGCCACAGCUUGUCACUUCCCAAAGGCCUCACCCAGCCUAUGCUUGGGCACACAUGCAUUGGGGUUUCCCAAAAGCUGCCCUGCACCAGGCAGGCGCUGGGUGACUGCUUCUGAAUGCUGAUAGUGCUGCAGGGCACAAUGGAGCCCCAGCCCUAUGCUUACCUCUCCCACCCCUGCAGGGCUCCAGGUGCAGCCUGUGAUGGAGACAAGGGCAUGUGGAAAGCAGUGGCUCCAGAUGAGCUGUGAAGGAGUGAGGAGAUUGCCUCAGAGGACAAACAGAUAUAAUUAUCUGCAGCAGACUCAGAGUCUGUGUUGCAACAAUUUCCUCCUUAAGACCUUGGUGCACCCAAAAAAGAAAAACUUCCUGGUUUCUGUGCAAAGAUGCAUGACAGCAUGAUUUAUCAUGAGUGAGCCAUGCUGCCCCGAACCUUCGUUAUCCUGCUUUCAGUGCACCUGUAGCAUCACGUGCCCUAGAAAAACAGGUGGUGAGAGCCCAAAUCUGGGCUUGAGGCAGCUUAAAGGUAUGACUUAGAGAAAGGCAAAGAGGCUGCAGCCAAAGGCUUACGCUUUCCUUCAAAGUCCAGCUGGGAAAGAGGCAUCAUCCUUUCACUCCCUUGCUUGGGGCAGAGCUCACAAUUCAGCUUUCCCUCUGCUCCUGGAUGUACAUACUGUCAGAAAGCACGCAAUGGGGACAGACAAGGAUGUACUGAAGUAUUUGUACUGGGGAGAGCAGCAGAAGUCAUGGCAGGGUGCAUCCUACCUCUCCACUUGGAGCUGGCUCUCGGAGGCAGAAAGUGUAACAACUUAAUCAGAUAUCACUACGCACACAUCCCUCUACAUUGGUGACACAUUUCCUGGCAUGCCUGCAGCCCACAGCCAUCUCCUCCCAGUACUUAGCAUCACCCCGUGCCAGCCGCCCAUCCUGCCAAACCACCCUUUGGCAGAUCUGGGGAUUCACCAUCAGUGAAGAGCAGCAUGCAGGGUGCCAGGACUGGCGGAUGGCAGAGGCAGAGCGAGGUGCCAGCCAACGCUGGGAGGACACAUGGGGACAACAGCUGUGGCAUGGGGAUGAAAGGAUCAGAGGUGUGAGAGGAAGGGACCGGAGAUACCUGUUUUGUGCUGCUUCAUCAGUGACUGUUCAGGCAGCCUGUCAAGUAUUCCUUUGUGCUUCAGUUUUUAAACAGCCCACACCAUCUCCAUGUAAACUGGCUUGCACAGGCGAGGUCUCCAUGUGCCCUCUGAGAUUUGGCACAGCUGUGCAAAACUCCACAUUUGUUUGUGCUAUGUGUAUCAAGAACAAACAGGUGUGUCAGAAGGAAGGGCAAGAUGCCCUCAUCCUGCAGAAUGGAACUGUUGCUCAAGGAGGCCCAGAAAAUCUGGUUUGUAGUGUGCUACUUUGGUGUCCUUCAUUCUCUUCUGCUUGUUCUCAGAAGGGAUGUUCCUGGCUGUGGUAGCGAUAGGUCAGGUUUAGCCACACACCUCUGGCCUCAUAUUUCAUAGAAUCACAGAAUGCCCUGAGGUGGAAGAGACCCAUAAGGA